UCACUCAAUGCUUUAUUCUAUAGGGUUACGAUUUUCCAAAAAUUUUGCAGUUUACCUCACUUUCGACUGAAAAUUUUGAAGUUGUCUGAAGCAUUUUGAAGUUCUGAUAGAGUAGUAAUUUAGGUUUCACCCAACUCUUGCCAAGCU
ensembl:ncRNA T24D11.5 ncRNA